GCCAGUGUGGCGUAGUGAUUUGCGCAUUGGAUUAGGAUUCUGAAGACUAGGGUUCAAAUCCUGGCUCAGCCA